UAAUAAGUGUUUUAUGGCACUUUUUAAAUCCAUAUCCACCUUGUGUGCAAUGUCGGUCGAUCUUCUUCAUGGAGAUCGACCAAACAUCAACCUUUAUCUUUUAACUCUUUGUCUGAAAAAUAUUAUGAAUAAACAAUUCAAAUA
rnacentral:misc_RNA from 1 species